CCAAGUAUCCAUGAGGUAGAUCAAUUUCGUUAAAUGUGUUAAUUGUUAAACCAGCAACUAAUGAGUUGUUAAAUUGAUAAAAUUUUCAUUUCAGUCUUGGACCUAACAAGAACUUAAUCUUUAUUCCUGGAAAUGAGAUCCCAGUUGUACAGUACAACAGAAGCAAUCUCUUGAGGGAGUUCCGUAUUGCAGACAUUAGUUGGAGAAACUAUUCUAAUAGUAAGGAGAGCACCAUUGAAAUCACUAUUAGACUGAAUAGACUUUACACUCCAUUCCUGAUUUCCAUCUUCAUGCAAACCUUUCUUCUCUGGUUCCUCGCUUUCCUCACUAUUCUUAUCAAGUUGGAGAAUUUUAGUGAUAGAUUCAUGGGAUCAUUGACAGCUCUUCUUGUUCUAGUCUCUAUAAUGGCUUCUAUAAAGAAUAAUAUUCCUCAUACCGCUGACUUGAUGAUGAUUGACUAUUGGUUUGGUUGGCUUAUUCUCAG